GACGAACGCUGGCGGCGUGCCUAAUACAUGCAAGUAGAACGCUGAAGCGAGGAGCUUGCUCUUCUUGGAUGAGUUGCGAACGGGUGAGUAACGCGUAGGUAACCUGCCUUGUAGCGGGGGAUAACUAUUGGAAACGAUAGAUAAUACCGCAUAACAAUGGAUGACACAUGUGAUUUAUUUGAAAGGGGCAAUUGCUCCACUACAAGAUGGACCUGCGUUGUAUUAGCUAGUAGGUGAGGUAAUGGCUCACCUAGGCGACGAUACAUAGCCGACCUGAGAGGGUGAUCGGCCACACUGGGACUGAGACACGGCCCAGACUCCUACGGGAGGCAGCAGUAGGGAAUCUUCGGCAAUGGGGGCAACCCUGACCGAGCAACGCCGCGUGAGUGAAGAAGGUUUUCGGAUCGUAAAGCUCUGUUGUAAGUCAAGAACGGGUGUGAGAGUGGAAAGUUCACACUGUGACGGUAGCUUACCAGAAAGGGACGGCUAACUACGUG
rnacentral:rRNA from 1 species